GGGAACUCUGAGUCUGUGACACCUGUUACCAACAGCCGGGCCGGCCGCGCCAACGCGGUGGCCAGAGUUUGCGCCGGCUGGAGAGAACAGCAGAAACAAGCUGUGAAUGAGUCUGGAGAGAGCGGGGCCGAUGCUGAGCCGCCAUGCUUCGCUCCACGGGCCGCCGCUUUCCAGGUUAUGAGCAUGUGUGUAUCUGGCGCCCCACCAAACCCAAGCGCUGCUCGCUGGCAGAGUGUGUGUGUGCCGUGCUAUUCUACAGAUUCAGAGCUGAACGACUGCCGAAGACGAUCGCCAGAUCUGUCAGUAGUAGAUACUUAUCAUUCAGUUAUGUGUUCAUUAGACAGAUUCGAGGAAUCCUUCAGCCAGUAAUCUAAAUCUCACCCUCAUGUCGGUCCAAACCUGUAUGUUCGGUCUCUUUGCAGUUCAGUGGCCAUGAACGUCAAGCUCCAUAAAGGACUGAGAAGCACUAUAACAGUUGUCCGUAUGACUCAUGCAUUAUCUUCCAAGUCUUCUAAAGUCAUAUGAUGCUCUGUGUGAGGAACAGACCCAAAUUAAAGUCCUGAAAAGCUCA